GACGAACGCUGGCGGCGUGCUUAACACAUGCAAGUCGAACGGAAAGGCCCACCACUUUUUGGUGGUGGGUACUCGAGUGGCGAACGGGUGAGUAACACGUGGGUGAUCUGCCCCGCACUGUGGGAUAAGCCUGGGAAACUGGGUCUAAUACCACAUACGACCAUGGCGUAGGGGUCAUGGUGGAAAGCUUUAUUGCGGUGUGGGAUGAGCCCGCGGCCUAUCAGCUUGUUGGUGGGGUAAUGGCCUACCAAGGCGGCGACGGGUAGCCGGCCUGAGAGGGUGGACGGCCACAUUGGGACUGAGACACGGCCCAGACUCCUACGGGAGGCAGCAGUGGGGAAUAUUGCACAAUGGGCGCAAGCCUGAUGCAGCGACGCCGCGUGGGGGAUGGAAGGCCUUCGGGUUGUAAACUCCUUUCGCCCGGGACGAAGCCCACCUGGUGGGUGACGGACCGGAGAAGAAGCACC
rnacentral:rRNA from 1 species